UGGGGAAUAUUGCACAAUGGGCGAAAGCCUGAUGCAGCGACGCCGCGUGAGGGAUGACGGCCUUCGGGUUGUAAACCUCUUUCAGUAGGGACGAAGCGCAAGUGACGGUACCUGCAGAAGAAGCACCGGCUAACUACGUGCCAGCAGCCGCGGUAAUACGUAGGGUGCGAUCGUUGUCCGGAAUUACUGGGCGUAAAGAGCUCGUAGGCGGUUUGUCACGUCGUCUGUGAAAUCCUAGGGCUUAACCCUGGACGUGCAGGCGAUAAGGGCUGACUUGAGUACUACAGGGGAGACUGGAAUUUCUGGUGUAGCGGUGGAAUGCACAGAUAUCAGGAAGAACACCGAUGGCGAAGGCAGGUCUCUGGGUAGUAACUGACGCUGAGGAGCGAAAGCAUGGGUAGCGAACAGG
rnacentral:rRNA from 1 species